rnacentral:rRNA from 1 species
UACAGAGGUCCCAAGCGUUGUUCGGAUUCACUGGGCGUAAAGGGUGCGUAGGCGGCCAGGUAGGUCUGCUGUGAAAACUCGAGGCUCAACCUCGAGACGUCGGCGGAAACCAUCUGGCUAGAGUCCGGAAGAGGAGAGUGGAAUUCCUGGUGUAGCGGUGAAAUGCGCAGAUAUCAGGAAGAACACCCGUGGCGAAGGCGGCUCUCUGGGACGGUACUGACGCUGAGACGCGAAAGCGUGGGGAGCGAACAGG